rnacentral:rRNA from 1 species
GAUGAACGCUGGCGGCGUGCUUAACACAUGCAGGUCGAACGAGAAGUGAAGACGGAAACCUUCGGGCGGAAGGCUUUAUUUCGAGUGGCGGACGGGUGAGUAACGCGUGGGUAACCUGCCUCAUACAGGGGGAUAACAGUUCGAAACGACUGUUAAUACCGCAUAAGUCCACAGCACCGCAUGGUGCGGGGGUAAAAACUCCGGUGGUAUGAGAUGGACCCGCGUUCGAUUAGCCAGUUGGCGGGGUAACGGCCCACCAAAGCGACGAUCGAUAGCCGAUCUGAGAGGAUGACCGGCCACAUUGGGACUGAGACACGGCCCAAACUCCUACGGGAGGCAGCAGUGGGGAAUAUUGCACAAUGGGGGAAACCCUGAUGCAGCGACGCCGCGUGAGUGAAGAAGUAUUUCGGUAUGUAAAGCUCUAUCAGCAGGGAAGAAAAUGACGGUACCUGAGUAAGAAGCCCCGGCUAACUACGUG